AUGAUCUUUAUCUAUAUAAACCCCCAUGAUGAAACCAUUGUUAUCCACUACUCUUCUAAACAUUGUGCCUAGUUUACAUGUACACACUCCCCGUCCUUAAAUUUUGAAUUCAAAAUCAAUUAAGGAAGGGAUUCAUUCCCAAUUUCCCAUCAUCUACGUUCUCCAUUCUCUGUUUCCAUUUUUCUUUGUUCCUCCGCUUCUUCUUCUAUUCUUCUUCUUCAUGUUAGUUCCUCCUCUUUUUUUUCUUCCCUUCUUCCGUUCGUUUCUUCUUCCUGUUCCUAAUCUAAGUUGGAGAUGGAGGUUAUAAAGUUCAUGUACUCACCAACGCAGAGGAUGUCAUUGUACCUGAUGGCUCCAACCUUCAGAGGAGUCGUCGCGGUGGAGGCAACACCAGCAGUGGUGGUAGGGUUACGGCGGUGGAUGAGGUGCCGAUUGCUAUGGUGGUGGACGAUGGUAUGGCGUGGUAGUCCCAGUGGGUGCGGUGGAGUUCGUGGUAAUCAUCGAUGUGUGGUGAUGGAUACGGAGGAGGAAGCGGUGGAAGAAAGCAUAUAGCUGGAAAGUACUGAGUGGCGGCCAUAGAGAGCACAUGUAGUGAGACUGUGAAAGCCGAGAGCACAGCAGCGACGACCAGAACAGAGCCGUGAGAUCUAUUGGCGUUCAGAGCAGAUCUGCAUGUAUUCGACAACAAAAUCAUAUCGGCUACUGUUUGUGAAACAUGGUUCGGUAUCUCCUUUUUGAGUUUUGAUCAUGGAGUUUUGUCAAUGUCUUAAUUUUACUCGCUGGUAAAAUUACUUACAGGUAAUCCUUUUUUCCUUCUUUUUUGGAACUUUAGUUAUUUCUAACGUUAGUGCUUACUCUGUUGUUUUUAUUUGUUGUGCAUUUGUUGUACUGAGUUACAUAUUUUCUAACACAUCUAUAUUUGGACAAUCCGCAACUACCUUUAGAUAUUUCAUUGUUAGAUCACACAUGAUAUGCUCAACCACCUGUAUCCAUGAUAAAAGAGUGUUGAAGUUUGUGGUGUUUUCAUGAUAGGUUCAAUGGUUGUUAUUUAUCACAUUGGAAAAUGAAUACCACAAUGGAAUAUACCAUUGAAAAAUCAAUACCACAUUGGAAUCUUUGAUUGUUGUUUAUCUUCCAGCUUCGUUUAAAAUUUCAAAUUUUUUUAUCUUAAGUCAUAGAUUUUUUUUUGAAAGGAUUGGUUUGUGGUGCAGGGUGUGGAAGCAACAUGAAUCCAAUGACAUGCUGAUUUCAAAGCAUUAACAUGAUCAAGAACUUGGAAAUUAACAGAUGAGGUUGCAAUUCAAGGUUUUUUUUGGUUAUCAAAGUAGUAAUAUUUAAUUUUUGGCAUUCAAGCUUCUCUUUCCAUUUUUUUGCUUAUAUUUGGUUGCAAUUGAAACUUUUUUUUCUUGCUCAAUUGUUUGUUCAGGUUAAUUUAUUUCUAUAUAUUUAUGUUGAGCCAGCAGCUUCUCUUAAUGAUUCCCACUAAAUUUCAUAUUUGGAACAACUUCCUCUGCUGACUAGAUUUUACUUCUUCUUUAUUUUCUUUUUAUUUUCCUUUUUUAUUUUUUUUCAAAAUUAUUUUAAUUUUAAUCAAGUAGCUAAGUAUGUAAAACUGUUGUUGGAUCUGAAUUGACAUGAUCAUGUUUAAUUGAUUUAUGAAAACAUUCAAACAAAUUUAUUUAUAAAAAUGUCAUAUGUUGAAAUCAUAUCCAGCGUCCAAUGUCUCUAGAAUGAUGAAGUUCACACUUAGUUACUGCCUAUAGAAACCUUUGGUCUAUUCAAUUAAUUCUCUCCAUUCUGUUUUCAUAUUGACUUAAUUAAUCAUCGCAAAAGCCUUUUUAUUGAUCAAUCACUUUUUUCUGUCAUUGGUGAUAGUUAAUUAAGUUUAUGUUGAGCUUUAUUUUUUUUAUUUUCUGAUUUGAUUUAGUUUUGAAACUGCCUUUUUGAUGAGAGAAAAACUUGAUAUUAUGGGAUUUCAAAUUCAAGAGGACUUUUAGUUAAUCAUGUUUUAAUAAUUUCUUUGCUUUUCAGGUAAAAGGUGGUUUUCUGAGCUAGCUUGGGUUCAAAUCCAACGCUUAUGAGAUAGUAUUUAAUUUCUUGCUCCCAUCCUUUACUUUUGUUUCAUAAUCUGUGUUAGCAAAAGUAGCUGUAAGAAGAAUAUGAGAGUGAAUUUUUUUUUUUUCGAAAUUCAUAUAAUUAUCUGCAAAAUUAGUUGGUGAGUUGGUGAUACCUCUGCCAUAAUUAUCACCAAUAUAAUGCUGGCUUAGCUACUUAAUUAAUUUUCUACCAAUGAUUUGAUAAGUAGUUGGAUAGAACUUAGAAGAUACAAGCACUACUUCAAUAAGAUGAAGGGAGUGGUGGUGUCAUUUGAGGUCGUGGCUGGGGAGGAGCUGCCACUCUGCCACUGGUUAGAGCGCUUCUAACUUGGUAUUUGAAUGUUCCCACACUAGCUAUUGCUGAAUAGUGAAUAUAAAUAUUAUUAUCUUCUGGUAUUUAUAAUUAUUUCACUAUAUUAUUCUAUAUGAUAGUUGAAUUUGAGAAUAGUACCAUUAGUAGAACUAAUGCUAUGAUUGAUCAAUUCACUUGACUGAUAGAGUAUUUUGGUAUUUUUCACCUUGCACACUAUAACAGGAGAGAAAUUCAGAUUAUUAAAGAUGUUAGUGGAAUAAUAAAACCAUCAAGGUAAAAUGAUUCUCAUUUAUAUUCAGUUUUAUUUAAUGGUGUACAAUAAUUGCAAUUUAACAUUUACUUUACAAAGCCUUUUUUUGAAACAAAAACAUUUGAAUCCCUAUACAUUUCUUUUCUGGUGUGAAAUCUUGGGAUGACAUUUCUUUUCCUAAUUUUCUGCAUGAUAGUUCACUCAAUUGAGCAAUUGUCAUAUUAUCAUGUAGCAGGGUUCACACGGGUUUCUUCAUUUGUGGAAUCUAUGACUUCACAAAUAUUAUUAUUGUGUUUCUUUUUAUUGAACUAGAAGAUUAAAAGUGUUUCAUCCAGAUACAGUUAGUUUUAGUCUUAGGAUUUUAGCCUUUUGAUGGCUGAUUUAUAAAACUCAAUUGCACAAGAUAUUAUUUGUAAUAUAUUAAUACUUUCCCAUUAUAUGGAUGACAUAUGGAUGACUGCAGUAGAUUUUUUUAUGUUUAUCUUUGUUUGUAUUAAAUUUGCUAUACUCUUAAGUUCAUAUUCAUACCAAUAAACUUAUUAUACGAAAUUAUCUUUCUCUUUUCAACAAAUUAAUUCUUUGAUGUAUAUAGUAGAUUUUUUGGUUAUUCUUGAAUUUUCUAUAUUAUUUGUUUUAACUGUUCUGAAUCUGCUUUAGUAUAGCAUAUCAUUUUUUUAUCUGUUCUCACUAUCUUAUAUAUGUUUUAGGUGUCUUUGUUGCUACAAACAUUAGUUGAAUACACAUGAUUCGGGCAUUCAUUUAUUUAUUUUCUGAAUUUGAUCUUUUUAUUUAUUUAUUUAUUUAUUUAUUUUCUGAAUUUGAUCAUUUAUUUAUUUAUUUUCUGAAGUUGAAUACCAAUAUCCAAGGACUAGGAGUAAAAACAACAAUUUUGGUUGAAGUUUCGAUUGACAGUAUCAGCGACGAAGGUUCCGAUAUAGUUAAAUUAGUUCUAAGUUUAGCAUUUUUGGUGGGAGCCUAUUCUGUCGACAAGGCAUCAGGCGCUAACAAUAUGGCCAUUAAGAUAAAAAAGAUUGUGAUAGGCAGUUGCAGCAUGUGAGAAAGUAUAGGGAGCCAAUGACCUAAGCGUACAAUGUGUACAAUGAAGGUUUAGAAAGUAUUAGAGAUAUUAUUAUUAGUGUUACAUUAUCCUGUCAAGUUACGCUUUUGGGAUGAGUGGUUUUAGGACAUGGUAUAAGAAUUCCAGAUCCGGAAGGUCAAGGGUUCAAACCUUAGUGAAUCCAAAAUUAGCUUUUUAUAACAUAAGAUGUUUAUUAUCCCUGGUAUUCGGAUGGUUACUCGCAGCAUGUAUAGGGUUUUAGUUUUUUUUGGAUAAACCCAAGUAUUGGGAGGGAGAGAGAAUACGCUGUACUAUUUUAAAUUUUAUUGGGCGGGUUGUUUUGAGUAGGGCCUAUUUCAGGCCU